GCCUCAAGUUAUGUGUGACUACCCC
rnacentral:rRNA from 5 species